rnacentral:tRNA from 1 species
AAAAAGAUAAGCUAAUUAAAGCUUUUAGGUUCAUACCCUAAUAAUAGAAGUAAAGCCUUCUUCUUUUUA